AGCUUUGCGCAGUGGCAGUAUCGUAGCCAAUGAGGUUUAUCCGAGGCACGAUUAUUGCUAAUUGAAACAUGAGAGAGACUCGGUCUACUGCUGCUGGUUUUGAACGUGGAAGGAAGGGAACUCGUGGAAGCUAGGAACAGC